rnacentral:rRNA from 1 species
UACGAAGGGGGCUAGCGUUGUUCGGAAUCACUGGGCGUAAAGGGCGCGUAGGCGGCCGAUCAAGUCGGGGGUGAAAGCCUGUGGCUCAACCACAGAAUUGCCUUCGAUACUGUUUGGCUUGAGACCGGAAGAGGUUAGUGGAACUGCGAGUGUAGAGGUGAAAUUCGUAGAUAUUCGCAAGAACACCAGUGGCGAAGGCGGCUGACUGGUCCGGUUCUGACGCUGAGGCGCGAAAGCGUGGGGAGCAAACAGGG